CAUCUGGGUAUGCGGGUGAGUCACUGAGUGGCUGGUCCCUUUGUCCCAUGUAAAGGUAAGGCUGUAGCCACCCACUGCUGCCCUAAGUGAGUCUGGACAGAAAUGGGCAUGUCUGCCCUGCAGCAGCCCCACCCAUGCUGGGACAACCCUGAGUCAGGGAGGCCAGAGGUGCCACACCCCUUUCUCUCUACCAGUCACAGGCCCUGAAACUGAAAAUGACCUCAGGCCUCAACCAUGAAUCCAGGCCAGCACUGCACUGUGGAAACUGUGUCUUGCUGGGCUGCACAUGGGAUUCCUGGGAGCAGAAAGGGACAAAGGUGGAGAUGAAGCUCUUUGGUUCUACCGUUCACUUAGGAUCCUUCUAAAAUCCAUCUCCGAAAGACCAGGUCUCAUGCUGGUUCCUUCCAGCCAUGUAGUGAUGGUGGCAAGUCAGUCCUAGGGUUUAGGUCUAUGGUCACAUCUGUGGCCACAGGCCACAGCUAGCCAUGAUCUAGGCCUACUAGCAUAGGGGAGAGUGUGUGAAUUGAAAGGAGCCCCAGGACAACUACCCUCAUUUUGCAGAUGUGGAAAUCCAGGCCCAGAGAGGGUUAGUGACUUGCCCGAGGCCACAGAGCUUGUAGCAUCAAAAGUAUGAACUGUGGUUUCGUGGGCUUCAAACCUGCACUCUGUCCAUGUUUCUCCUUGCUGGAUCCCGGGUUAUGCCCUCAUGGGUUCUAGAAGUCCCCAUCAGUGACCCUGAUGAGAGUGGCACCGUGUUACUAAGCUCAGGGAGUAACUCUGAAGUGUGGGACUGGAGCUCCAGGGCAACCUGCCAGUGAGAGCUGCAUGUGUCCCUAGCCCAAGCUGGUUAAUAUCCUUCCUGCACAAGGAUGGGUGUGAGAAUCCACUCUGCAGACCCUGAAGCAGACACACUAAUCCUGCUUAAGAUAUCACCUAUACCAGGGAGAGCAGGGCCUGCCUGAUCCAGGAAAGAGCUUGCUGCCCUCAGGAAGGGUAUUAGCCUGCGUGGGGGUACCAGGAGGGUGCAUCAGAUUGAGAUGUGUCUCUGUGCGCACCUAGGAAGACAGUGAGUGGUGUGGACAUGCAGAUCAUUCCCCUCACUGAGGACCGAACUGUCCAGGUUCCCGCGGCCACGUUAUCACCCCAUGUGAACUUGGGAUGUACUUACUAAAGCCUGUUUCCCAAACUGCCAAAGGGAAAGGCUAAGAAUUUCAGUCACAGGUUUGUUAAAAAGAGCCAACUAGGGGGGCUGGGGACUUAGCUCAGCGGCAUAAGAGCCUGCCUUGCAAGCAGGCAGUCGCGAGUUCGAUCCCAGGUACCGAUAAAAAAGAAAAAGACCAAAAAAAAAAAAAAAAAAAAAAAAAGGGCCAACCACUCUGGAGGCAGGAGGUUCACAGCAAGACCUUGUCUCAAAUUAAUAUAUAAAAUGGACUUGGAGGGGCUGGGGAUUUAGCUCAGCGUCAUAAGCGCCUUCUUGCAAGUGCGCAGUCAUGAAUUCGAUCCCUGGUACUAAUUAAAAAAAAAAAAAGAAUUGGAAGAAAAGGGCUUGGGAUGUAGCUCUGGAUGCUUCCCAAUACUGGAAAAGAAAAACAAGGAGGAGAAGAAUGAGCCAAUCAACCUGACGGCCCUUCAGGGACACAGCCCACAGCUUGGAGGUGGAUGGGAGGGGGUGGGCUGUGCUGCUCCCCGGGGCUAAGGGCGCUGAGGGUACAGGUAGCACUGGGUCUGGGGGUAGGAGAGGGCUAGUUCCCAGCUCCCUGCCUGCGACUUCCUCACUUCCCUGGCUGCCUAAGGCAGCACUAAAUCAGGUCAACACUCUUGGCUGCUUGCAGGAACUGUCAACGCAAACAGCUCCAGCCCAGCUCCCAACCCAGGCCACCAUCUCCCACCCACUCUGGGCCCCAGCAGCCAAGGCAUCUCGGCUGCUCGGUGCCUUUGUUCUCCAGCAAGUACUGUUCAUUAGGCCUGGCUGUGUGCCUGGUGCUGGACCAGUGCUUUGAGAGGAAGUAACAGGCCCUGUGCGCUCUGCCAGACCCCUCCUGAGAAAACCUCUUCUAGAGAUCCAAUCACCUCUUUUCUGAGAGAGGAAACUGAGGCUCAGGGAAGGUAAGCACCUCAUUCAAGGGCACUGUCUGCAAGUGCAGAGCCAGAGCCGAAAUGGAGAACCUGUGCCUUUAGCCAGAGGCCAUGUGUUCCAGAGGUCUGGCAGCAGAGCCCACAGUGGGAGCUGGGAGGCCAGGGGAGGGCUGUACCUAGUGGCCUCAGGGAAUCUCAGGUCACAGUGCAGAGCAUGUUGGGAGUGAGAGAGAGGAGGAAGUCUGGAGUGUGGGAGGAGCAGCGCACACACACACACACACACACACACAGUGCCACACACAGACCACACAAGCAUAGGCCAGCAGGCAUCCACAAACACAAAGACCCAAGGGACAGGCACAUAGGUGAAUACACAAUAAAAGACAUACAGCCUCAGCUGUACACAAAGGACACAUAGGAAAACACUCGCCCGUGAUUGACACUUAUCCCACAUAUAGGCAGCCCCAGAGACACACAGACACUCCCCACCAUACAUACACACACGCACCCCUUGCACGAAAGGGAAGGAAGAGCGGCUGCCUCAUUUCCGGGCCUCCGCCUCUAAAGCUGAGGGAAAAACCUUCCCCAGAAGUGCUGAGUCAGCAGCGGGUGACAAAUGAGCCUUGGGCGGCGCCGGGCACCAGCGCGACCCUUUGCAUGCAGAGCGCCUGCGCGACAGCGCCAACUCCCGGCCAGCGGCCGCCCCGCCCCCGCCCCCGCCCCGGGGAGGCCCGCGGGAGGAAGUGACUUGCUUUGACUUUGCAAACGUCGGACUUUGCAGCCCAAGGUCACGCGGCAGGCACGGCCAGCCGGCUUCCUGCAGGGAGGCGGGGUGGGUGCUGGAUGGCUCCGGGCUGGGCUGCAGCUGGCCAGGCCUAGGAGGGGCCUAGGGACUGUCCCAGCAACAAGCCCUGCUGCUAGCUUGUUCCCACCAAAAUACGUGCUGUCGCAGGUGCCCACCGUGUUUGUGUGCCUGGCUCAAACCCCAGCAUCAGCGUCACCUCCUCAGAGAGACCUUCCCAGAGGGAAGGUGCCACCUCCAGGCCAUGUUCUGUUUACUUCCAUAGCAGUUGCCCCCUCUCGGAAUUUUUUUGUUUGCUUCUUUCUUGUCUUUCCACUCCUGUCCCUCAAUAAAAGCUCUUGACAGCAAAGCCUUUUGUUAUUUUGUUUGGCCUGCAGUGUAGCCAGAGCCUACAAUUGCAUCUGGGACGUAAUGGGUGCCAAGCCACAUUAAUACAUGUGCAUGAAUGAGGUGAGAGAACACAGCCUCGGGGCCACACGUGUAAGGAGAGGGCCAGGCUGUGUGUGUAGAGGGUACUUGCGUGCAGGUCCUGUGGGCUGCAGCUAAAAACACACUUGGCUAACCCACACAUACAGCAAGGUGUUUACUAUCUGGAGAAAGAAUGCUUCUGUCAGAGGCUUCCUCUCCAGGCCUCCCCCUAAGACAUGCUUGGCCCUGCCAGGGAGUCCGGGGGAGAGGGUAUCUUUCCUCAGGAGCAAGCAUCUUGGAUCGCUGGAGGUACCAUGAUGGAGAUGUCCACUGUGUUUCCGCUUCAGGUCCUGUGCCUCAGUUUCUUUCUUGGGCUCUGCUUCUCCAAGGUCGGUCUCUGGGAACACUGACGGAAUCUGGCAAAGCAGCAAAGUAAUUGUGUCAGUUUUCGGGCUUUACUGGACUCAGAGCCCGGAACCUUUUUUUUUUUUUUUUUUCUUUGUUUUUGUUUCUUAAUUCCUGUCCUUUCUCUCUCCCGCCUGUAAGAUAAUAAUCGUGAGGGUGUUGUGGAAUGUCCUUGGCUGGAGAAAUAAAAGGGUUAUCUUCAUUGCCAUCUCUGCUGAGAUUUGCUCACGUGGACAGCAAGGUGGGCACAUGGGCUGCAGCCCCUGGCCUGGCUGGUCCUGUUCCAGUGGAGAAAACAGACAGGAAGAGGCCCCAAGGAGGAGGCAGUCCUGGGGCGCGCAGCCUGCUGCUGCCUGCAAGGAACCCUCCUUACCUACAGUCACAACUGUGAGCUGCUGCCAGCCUUGGCCUGCCCUUUGCCAGGGGCCCCUUCCUGCCACAGCCCUGGGUAGAACAGGCUGACUGGACAGUGAAAGGGUGGCCUGAGGCCACUGUUCCCAGACUUCUCUUCUGACUCAGCUUCCCUGUGAGAGAGUGUGAAUGAGAACUGGGGAGGAGUGCCUGGCAGCCAGCAGUGGUCCCAUGGGGUGGGUCAGAAGCCAGAGCACCCUCCCCCCCAAACCGCCUGGCCCUCUGCGGCUCCUGCAGGGCUUCCCAGUGGCAGCACUGGAAGCCCACAAUGUGGGUAUGGGCAGAGGAAAGCAAAAGGAGCAAGACAAGGUGUCAGUCUCUAGCACUGUCCUGGGGCCAGGCCGAAGCCUCCUGGGAAGAUGGAAUCACAAGCCUUUGACAAUGGCCGGCCCCAUUCACUUUCAGUCAACAAAUAUUUCCUAAGCCCUUGGGUACAGCCAGCCCUGCUGGAAACAUCAGGAAUGCAGCCAUGGAAACAGAUUCCCAUGUCAGUAGAAUUUACAGUUUAGUGGAGGGAAGACAGUCAGUAGUCAAAAUAAGGGCUGAGGAUGUAGCACAGCUGUAACAGUGCCUGCCUAGCAAGUGGGAGGCCCUGAGUUCAAAUCCUGAUACAAAAAAAAGACUAAAAACAAAAGCUUCUAAAUAAAUAACUAAAAUAAGAGAAAUAUUUGGUGUGUCAGCUAGUGAUAGGUGCUACAGAGAAAAAUAAGGAGGGGAAGGAGUUGGAGGCUCCUGGAGCAGGGAUGGCUCUCAGUGUAAGUAGAAAGACGGGGGACAGCUCACUGAGAAGGUGGCUUUGAUUCUGAUUCAUGAAAAAUCAUUCAUCAGCACAAAAAGCCAAGGAUGCAGGUAAGAUUAUUAUCAUUCUUAUUAAGGAUGAGGAAGCUGGGGCCCAAGUGCUGAGUCUAAGUUCAGAAGGCUGAGGACAAGUGAAAUUUGAGCUUAAGUUGUCUGUGCUUUGUAACCACAGCAUGAUAUGGGAGAGAGAGAGAGAGAGAGAGAGAGGGAGACAGAGAGAGAGAGAGAGAGAGAGAGAGAGAGAGAGAGAGAGAGAGAGAAAGGACAAGGGAUAAAGAGGCAGUAUGGUGAGCCUUGCAGUGGUGACCAUCUGUUUUCCAAACUGAAAAUCAGGACAUGAUCCGAAAGGGUUUUCCUAUUGCUCGCAGUGAGAGUGGCUGUCUGGGAGAGGCGGUUUGGAUGCUGGCCUGCAGACUGGUACUUCUGAGACAUUCCAGUGGCUUGUGGGCCUCAUGAGGCAGUCCAAGGGUAGGGCAUUGCCAUAGCAACCUCUGCCUGGCCACUGGGCCAAGAGCCUGGUGCAGAGCCACAUGGCUGAGCCACUGGGCAUGGGCCCCGAGAUGCUGUGGGCCACAGGGCAGCACGAGUCACUAAGCAACCAGCAGGAGGAGCCUUGGGAAAGGGCGAGGGGUGGGUGUGGCCCACAUCUGGGCCAAUCAAUCAAGAGGGUGGUCUGGCAGUUUCCAGGAAGCCCCCUGGCAGUAGUCUUCAGGCAAUGUGAGGAAAGAACCAGGCUUUCCCGUUAGCCAAGCUUGGGUUUGAAUCAUUCCUGCUCUAGGUCUGGGUAAGCCACACGGCUCCUGGGAGCUUGUUUGUGUGUCUGUGCAGUGGGGCAAGCAGCUCACCUCAUGGAACAGUUGCAAAGAUUUUCAUGCUCUGUGAUGAGGCAGGAACUGUGUUUGGCAUAUUGCAAACUCUGUAUGAUUUUUCAGUUUCCUUCUACCUGACAGGGCGUGGAGGGGGCCAGCCAAGACAGAGAGCUGGGAGGGACAGAAGAGAUGAUAGGGCUUGGGAAACACAUGACCUGGUCACCCAGGGCAGUGGCAGGUUCCCAGCCAAGCCUUGCAUGUGGGCUGGGCCUUCGUCAGCAACAAAAGAACAAUACCCUUGGCAGACCCAGGGCAGCAGUGCCAGCCUUCCCUCCCUCUCUCCUACCCUCUGCAGCCUCAGGGCUCUGGGUCCAGGCCUGCCACCCAUGUCCCCUUCAGGUCUCCUGGGCAGCUCUAAAGCUCUCUAUGCCAGUGAGCAGCCAAGGGGCCUUAGGAGGUAGAUAAUUCUCAGGGGUGGCUCCUUAUUUUCCGCCCAGCUGCCUGAGCCUUCUGGUAAACCCCACUGCUGCUCCUCUGUUGCUUCUGAAGACUGUAUGCAAAGCAGAAAAGGAGAACACAGGGGCUGGGGAUUUAGCUCAGCGGCAUAAGUGCCUGCCUUGCAAGCAAGCAGUUAUGAGUUCGAUCCCCGGUACCGAUAAAAAUGAAAAAGACAAAAAAAAAAAAAAAAAAAGAGAACACAAAA